rnacentral:rRNA from 1 species
UGGGGAAUUUUGGACAAUGGGCGCAAGCCUGAUCCAGCCAUGCCGCGUGCGGGAAGAAGGCCUUCGGGUUGUAAACCGCUUUUGUCAGGGAAGAAAUCUUCUGAGUUAAUACCUCGGGAGGAUGACGGUACCUGAAGAAUAAGCACCGGCUAACUACGUGCCAGCAGCCGCGGUAAUACGUAGGGUGCAAGCGUUAAUCGGAAUUACUGGGCGUAAAGCGUGCGCAGGCGGUUUUGUAAGACAGAGGUGAAAUCCCCGGGCUCAACCUGGGAACUGCCUUUGUGACUGCAAGGCUUGAGUGCGGCAGAGGGGGGUGGAAUUCCGCGUGUAGCAGUGAAAUGCGUAGAUAUGCGGAGGAACACCGAUGGCGAAGGCAAUCCCCUGGGCCUGCACUGACGCUCAUGCACGAAAGCGUGGGGAGCAAACAGGAUUAGAUAGCCCUGGUAGUCCACGCCCUAAACGAUGUCAACUGGUUGUUGGGAAGGUUCCUUCUCAGUAACGUAGCUAACGCNUGAAGUUGACCGCCUGGGGAGUACGGCCGCAAGGUUGAAACUAAAGGAAUUGACGGGGUCAUAGCUG